ensembl:lncRNA novel transcript
AGUGUCAUGGGAAGACAGAGAGAAGGCUGCUGUCUGAAAGCCAGAAAAAGAGCCCUCAGCAGAACCCAGCCAUGCUGGUGUCCUGAUCUCAGCCUUCCAGCCUCCAGAACUCCAAAUAUAAGUCUUAACGUUACAUCUGCAAUGGAAAAACAAGUCAAACUCAGCAAAAAGGAGCCCUGAAGAGACAGAGUUAAGUGCUUCCGUGAUGAGAGUAGAGUUGGCCUAUGCUGUCCCUCCCAGGACUCCUUUACCCAAGAGAAAGAGAGAGUGUGCAUCCAAAGGGGAGUGAAAAUAGAAUAUAAAUAGGGAAAAUAGAACCAUUCAGAGCAGUUCAGGGAUCUUUACUACUCUGACAUGGAAGGAAGAAGGAGGAGAAGAGAAAAGAUGAACGGACCUUGAACCUGGGAUAUCGCUCAUGUGACUGCUACAUUGGUAUUAAGAUACAGCAUUCAUGUGCCCUGGAAUGUUUUGUUCUAUUAGGUGCUACACCCAGUAGAACAGUGCUCCAUCCAAUGCAAUUUUCUGGAAUUUAAACAAUCCAGACCAGAAUUUUUCCUCCUUGGAGAUGGAAUGUCUUGCUCCAGAGGGAGGAGGAAGAAGAGAAAAGAGAAGUCUCAACCAGCCUCCUCUCUACCCCACACAGAGAAUAGAGAUGCAAAACUUC